CCUCACACAGCCCGUACUUUCCCCUCUUCAAGAUCAUGCACUUACCUUAGCUACCGCUAUAUCAAGAAAUACAAUGCAUUGUCAUAGUUCCAGCGCAGAAUAUAUUUUGCAGAUAUCUCUUCUCUUUUAGUUGUAGCUAGAUCUGUCAAUCUAGCUGAAUUAAUUUUUCUGAAAACUUGAAGAGUGUUGUCAAAUUCAGUUCAGCGAAUUUGGUGGCCUAACCCUCCUGCUUUCUCUGGUUGUAUUUCCUUUGUUGGCAAUGCUUGUUCCCUAGUGGGUUUCAAUUAAUAAAAAUUUCCCAACUCAAGAGCAAAACUCGGAUUUCUUCCCUCUUUCUUGGAAGAAAUACUAUUUUCUGGUAGAGUUCUGGUCUGAUGGGUGAACCUUAGGGCUUGUUUGAUUCCUUGAUUCUUUGAAAAUUGUUUUUGUAGAAUCACGAUUCUACAAUUUUAGUCAUGUUUGGUAAGUAAUGAAUGUAGUUCUUAGAAAAAGUGAUUCUUCCGACAUGUCGUUUUUGCACAUGAAGUGAUUCUUUUGUGAGAAUACUUCAAGAGGAGAUCUCAGAUAAGAAUCAACUGAUUCUUCUCCUCGUAUAAAAGCCACCCGUUCACCUGAGAAUCACAUUUAUCGGCUCCCAUCGACAACUCGUUGUUACCUUGCGCGAAGAAAUUUCUCGCAUCUUCUCUCACUGAAAACUUGUUGCUCCUUCGUCGCUCCUUGGUGCUUCUCUCACUGAAACAAGUUAUGAACUCUCUCACUCACCUCUCUCUGCAACUCGUGAAUGUUUUUCUCUCUUUACCUCUCUAUAUUUCUUGUUUUUGCAAUAGUUAAGGUCUCGAGUUUGAGAACCUAGAACCGAAAAUGGCUGAUGAGUGGUAACUCAGAGGAUGCCCUAGCGAACGGUAGUGUUUGGGGGUUUCAAACUGAUAGGGAUUUUGUGUGUUUCAACCCUGGAUUUCGCUUCAGCCAGGCCCAAAACCAACACAACUUGGAGAUUGAACGAAGCUCACCAAAAUGGCAUCCAACCAUGAGAAUGAUGCAAUAUACUAGAAGCGCAAGAAAAUCAUUAUCUUAGCGGCCACUGUUGCUGCUAUAGGAGUGGAGCAAUAUAGCAAGUCGUAUCUCACUAAGGAGCCUUACUGCAAUGAGGUCCUGCAUGGUAGUGCUGAGAUAGAGCGAAUAAUUGUUUUCAAUCUAUUAUCAAAUGCAUACAAGAUAGGGGCGAUAUGACCUAUGAUUGGGAACAAGUUCGCAACCAUUAUCGAAUAUGAAAGCAAAGGUUAAGAGCUUUGAGUGACCUCCAGAAGAAUAGUGGCAUAGGUUGAAAUUCAAUAGAGAUGCACCUCAACAUGUUUGGAAUGAGUUUAAGGUAAUUUUUCCCUUUUUUGAAUACCUUAUACCUAACCAUCCAUUUGUAAUCAUUUUUCUCAGUCUACUUUAUUGAUAUAAUCUUCUUAAAAAAUUUUGCAAAAGAAAGAGCAAAGAUAUUGGAAAGAACAUGUAGUUCUUCCAAUACACAUUCAAGUGGCUAAUGAGAUAGCUAGGGACUAUGACUCAUCACAUCCAUCAGAGACUGCAAAUGAUUGGCAGAAUGAUUACAGAGUCAAUCUUGAUGGAUUGGAGAACCUUUCUUUUGCUGGUGAUGGAGAGUUUCAAACUGAAGAAAGUAUACCUUCAGUUUGUCCAGAACAUUCUACUCCUGUUAGAGGUCAGCCUAAAUCAGUUUGUCUUAGUGGUAGUGGCAGUGGCAGUGGCAGUGGGAGAGAGAAGAGAAAGAAGGGAGGGGAUGAUAAGAUAUCAAGCCCUUUGAAGACAAUAGUUUCUGACCUUGGUCGUCUAGUCACCACUGAGUCUAGCGAUGACCUCACGGAUAGACUUUCUGGGGCAAUCGAUGCACUCCUAACUAUCGAUUUCAACAAGAAAUAACGUGAAAAAAUAUUCUUCGUGAAAAAUUAGGAGCUAUGCAAACUGUUUUUAAAAGCGAAGGAUGAAGAUAAACCACAGGUGGUGGAGUUGCUUAUGGAAGAUGACAAGGCCAAUGAUGUUUAAUGGGUGUUUUGUGAUAUGAAAUUUGGAUGUUUGUCUAAUGUUUAACUAUGAACUGAUGAACUUUGAAAACUGAACUUUUUUUUUUAUCCAGUAA